rnacentral:rRNA from 1 species
CCUACGGGAGGCAGCAGUGAGGAAUAUUGGUCAAUGGGCGAGAGCCUGAACCAGCCAAGUCGCGUGCAGGAUGACGGCCCUACGGGUUGUAAACUUCUUUUGUCAGGGAGCAAUUGAGGCCACGUGUGGUCUGAGCGAGAGUACCUGAAGAAAAAGCAUCGGCUAACUCCGGGCCAGCAGCCGCGGUAAUACGGGGGAGGCGAGCGUUAUCCGGAUUUAUUGGGUUUAAAGGGUGCGUAGGCGGAAUAUCAAGUCAGCGGUAAAAAUUCGGGGCUCAACCCCGUAGUGCCGUUGAAACUGAUGUCAUUGAGUGGGCGAGAAGUAUGCGGAAUGCGUGGUGUAGCGGUGAAAUGCAUAGAUAUCACGCAGAACUCCGAUUGCGAAGGCAGCAUACCGGCGCCCAACUGACGCUGAAGCACGAAAGCGUGGGUAUCGAACAGGAUUAGAUACCCUGGUAGUC